GUCUGUAAGCUGCUGAUACAGGAAGUUCAAGAGGACGUUUAUACGAGCCACUGAGCUGACACCCAGUAUUUUCCGCUCAACAACGUUUUAAACCAUGUCUCAAAUUAGCAGAGAGCUGAUCCAGGACAGACACAGAGAGAAUGCCCCCUCUACCCUCCGGCUGUAUCGUUCAGCGGGCUGAAACCCCCGCAGAGGGGGGGCCGGACGGGGAAAAGAACAACAAUGUGUCUGUCCCAGUGAUGACAUGGGUGCCUGGACUGCAUGUGACACAUGACACGCUCUCAUUGAGCAACGGAAACAUGACGUAAGGGUCACUGCCAGACAACGAAAAGAGAGAGAGAGAGAGAGAGAGAGAGAGAGAGAGAGAGAGAGAGAGAGAGAGAGAGAGAGAGAGAGAUUCCUCUUACCAUCAAGGGACAACCUGGUUUGAACUUAAUCUGUGAGGCCUAUUCAAUCAGGACUGGUGGGAUUGAAUGGACUGAUUGAAUAGCUAGAAACCUCAUUCUGGGUUUCUGGCUAUUUCAAAAUGUGUUAAUUUAGACAUAUCCUCCCAACCUCUUUACGAUUUAGUAUUAAAUAAAGCCGUCUUUAUUCAACCCAUAUUCAAGCAUUUUAUCACGGCUCUGUCCGUUAUAAACUCUGUCAGUGGUAACCUCCA